UACAUAAAAGAGAUGAUUUGGCGCAAGAUCCAGGGUUGGUUGGAGAAGCUUUUGUCAAAAGUUGGAAAAGAAACUUUGAUUAAAGCAGUUGCCCAGGCAAUUCCUACCUAUGCGAUGUCAUGUUUCGACUUGACCAAGAGUCUUUGCGAGGAGAUAAGCGCGAUGGUGUGCCGUUACUGGUGGAACCAACAAGAUGGGAAGCACAAAUGUCACUGGAUUGCCUGGGAUAAGCUCAUGAGGACGAAGAGGGAAGGGGGGCUUGGCUUUCGGGAUCUCCAUAUUUUCAAUAUGGCGAUGCUUGCACGACAGAGUUGGAGGCUGAUCCAGAACCCAGAGUCGCUUUGUGCCGUGGUACUGAAGGCAAAAUAUUUCCCGAUUUGCUCCAUUCUAGAGGCAACGGAACAACCAGGUAUGUCAUACACAUGGAGGAGCAUCUUAAGAGGUCGUGAUCUACUAAAAGAGGGGAUUGUGUGGCGUAUCGGAGAUGGGACGCAGGUGAAGGUUUGGUCAGACCCAUGGCUG
rnacentral:rRNA from 1 species